rnacentral:lncRNA from 1 species
UUCUUUCUUUCUUUCUUUCUUUCUUUCUUUCUUUCUUUCCUUCUUUCUUUCUUUUUUUCUCUUUUUCUUUUUGAGACUGAACUGGUUUGUUUUGUCACAAUUUACAAAUGUAAAAGUGUCAUGGAGAGAGGAACUGGUGUUAGCUGGAGCUAGGUUCUGUGCUUGGCACUCUGUCUGCAUUAGCUCAUCGGUCCCCACACCAACUGUAACUGAGCAGUCUAGGCCGGGAGCCAACACUGGCCUUCCUAAACUGACAAAGCAGAGCACAUUACCUGAUGUGUCUGAGCUGUAGCUGGCCUGUCUCUACAAUGGGGAUAUUACAGCGCAGCAAGGGCUGAAGUGACUAUAUGAACAGUACAAACGAUAAUAUACAGAGAAAAAACCAUUUAGUAUGGUGCUCUCCCAGUGCAUUGUAAAUGCCCAACAAAUGGUGGCUUCAAAACUAACUUGGUAUUAUUUCAGUUUUAUAAUCUGGAUCUAGAAGUUACUUAACAUGCUAAUGUGUAACAGCCCUUAGAACUCCACGUAUGUCAGAUUCCCAACUUAGUAAGUGUGUUUCUCAUUGCUAAGAUAAAGUACCCAACACAAGGAACUUAGUGGAAGAAGGGUCUCCCCUGCCUCACAGUCUGAGGGUCAAAUCCAUCAUGGUGGGAAAGGCAUGGAGGCUGAUAACCACUCUCUGGGAUUAGCUGGGGAGCAGAGGAAACAGAAGUUCUCAGGUUGCCUCCUCCUUUAGAGUCAUGCUAAGAGGCAAGCCUGUGGCUGUGGUGCCACCCACACUCAAAGCGGGCUUUCCCUCUUCAGUCUCUGGAAAAAGCCUUAUAGACCCAUCCAGAGGUGUGUUUCCAUGGAGAUUCUAAAUCCUGUCAAGUUGACAAAAUUAUCCAUGCUCUAACAAAUGCAUUGGGGGAAAGUAAGACAGCUGUUGUAGACUUGUGAAAGUCAGACACAAUAUCAAGAAGAAAAUAAGAAUUCCUGUAGUCUCCUGUGUAAUAAACACCUUAAUUUAUUUUCUUUUGCAAAUCUAUUUAUUUUUACGUUUUGUGUAUGAGUGCUGAAUUGAGUCUAUGCACCAGGUGCUUGUAGAGCCCAAGAAGGCCAGAAGAGGGCACUGUGUGCUUUGGAACUGGAGUCACGGCUGGGUGCUGGGAAUUGAACCCAGAUCUUGUGAAAGAGCAGCCAAUGCCCUUAACUGCUGAGCUGUCUAUACAGCCCCCUUUAAUUUCAUAUAAUAUCUUCUCUAUAGCUUUUAUUUAACAGGUUGUUAAGUUAUACUUAACCUGUACUUAAGCGUGUACUGUAUUUGUUCUCUUGGCUUUAUAUAAUAAACAUUUUUGUCCUAUCAUUAAAAUAUUAUUGAAUCCUGAAUGACUGUGCAAUCUUUAAUUGUCUGAGUGCAUUAAGCUUUGUGAGCUAUCCAAGCACAGCAUUUUUUUAAAAAUCCUAUUUGUUUGCUUGUUUCUUUCUCUUUUUUUUUGUGGUCUUUCAAGUAAGGGUCUCACUAUGUAGUCCCUGGCUGGCCUGGAGCUCACUAUGUAGCCCCAGCUACCCUGGAGCUGACUAUAUAGACCAGGCUGGCCUCAAACUCCUAGAUAACUGCCUGCGUCUGCCUUCUGAGUGCUGGGAUCAAAGUUCUGCGCCACCAUAUCAGACUCCAUAUUACUUUUUUUUUUUUUUAAGAUUUAUUUAUUUAAUGUUAUAAGACACACCAGAAGAGGGCAUCGGAGCCCAUUACAGAUAGUUGUGAGCCACCAUGUGGUUGCUGGGAAUUGAACUCAGGACCUCUGGAAGAACAGUCAGUGUUCUUAACCACUGAGCCAUCUCUUCAGCCAUCCAUAUUACUUUUUAAUAGCAGAAAUAUGCACAUAUAAGCUGGGUGGUGUGGCACACAUCUUUAGUCCCAUUGUUCUAGAGGCAGAGGCAGGUGGAGCUCUGUGAGUUCAAGGGCAGCCUGGUCUACAUGGUAAAUUCCAGGACAGCCAGGACUACACAGAGAAACAAACUACCAACAGCAGCCCCCCUCCCCAAACCCACCACCACCAAAACAAAAACCCAAAGCUAAUGUUUGUGGAGAAAUCUUUCCAUUUCUGUCUGACAUUUAAAAAAAUUUCCAUG